rnacentral:rRNA from 1 species
AGUGAACGCUGGCGGUAGGCCUAACACAUGCAAGUCGAACGGCAGCACAGUAAGAGCUUGCUCUUACGGGUGGCGCGUGGCGGACGGGUGAGGAAUACAUCGGAAUCUACUUUUUCGUGGGGGAUAACGUAGGGAAACUUACGCUAAUACCGCAUACGACCUACGGGUGAAAGCAGGGGAUCUUCGGCCCUUGCGCGAUUGAAUGAGCCGAUGUCGGAUUAGCUAGUUGGCGGGGUAAAGGCCCACCAAGGCGACGAUCCGUAGCUGGUCUGAGAGGAUGAUCAGCCACACUGGAACUGAGGCACGGUCCAGACUCCUACGGGAGGCAGCAGUGGGGAAUAUUGGACAAUGGGCGCAAGCCUGAUCCAGCCAUACCGCGUGGGUGAAGAAGGCCUUCGGGUUGUAAAGCCCUUUUGUUGGGAAAGAAAAGCAGCAGGUUAAUACCCCGCUGUUCUGACGGUACCCAAAGAAUAAGCACCGGCUAACUUCGUG